GACGAACGCUGGCGGCGUGCUUAACACAUGCAAGUCGAACGGAAAGGCCCCUUCGGGGGUACUCGAGUGGCGAACAGGUGAGUAACACGUGAGUAACCUGCCCUUGACUUCGGGAUAACUUCAGGAAACUGGGGCUAAUACCGGAUAGGAAUCCUUGCUGCAUGGUGGGGGUUGGAAAGCUUCGGCGGUUUUGGAUGGACUCGCGGCUUAUCAGCUUGUUGGUGGGGUAGUGGCUUACCAAGGCUUUGACGGGUAGCCGGCCUGAGAGGGCGACCGGCCACAUUGGGACUGAGAUACGGCCCAGACUCCUACGGGAGGCAGCGGUGGGGAAUAUUGCACAAUGGGCGGAAGCCUGAUGCAGCAACGCCGCGUGCGGGAUGACGGCCUUCGGGUUGUAAACCGCUUUCAGCAGGGGCGAAGCUUGUGGUGACGGUACCUGCAGAAGAAGCACCGGCUAACUACGUG
rnacentral:rRNA from 1 species